AAAUGACCUGCCAUCCUUUGGGGAUGAAGUAGCCAUCGAACUCGGUGUCCUCAAGUGCUAUUCUGAAGUUGCCGAAGAGUGGGGGGACGACGCGAAGCGUUUCCUGCGCGACUGGCCAUGUGAGCUUCAUCUUCGUCAGGUCUUCCCAGGGUUACCGGAUCAUUGGCGAGUUGGCGGACCAUGAACGUCAUAAGGAUGGAUGACGUGUCGUGGCCAGCGAUGAGGGCGACCAUGGCGUUGUCCACGAUCUCCUCAUCGGUUAGCAGCUGAUCGCCCUGGUCGUCCGUCAGGCUGAGCAGGCAGGUGAUGAGGUCGCUGUUGGAGUUGGACGACGCCUUGCCGUUGCGGUGCUCCAGCAGCAGGCUUCCCUUCUUCUCCCGCGUGAUCCCCUCGAGCACCCGGCGAGCCCUGCGGCUAGCCUUGAGGCUCCGGCUGAACGCCGUGAACGGCAGGUUCGCUGGGAUGGCCCACAUGCCCUCGAGCAUGCGCGCGAAGUCGUCGGCGAGGGCGUCCCGAGCGGCGCCCCGCUCGAGGCCGAAGAGCAGCGCCGAGAUGAUGUCAAACGUCAGCUGCUUCAUCAGCGGCAUGAUGCAGCCCCGCCUAUCGUCGACGCUACACCAUGGCCACGGAAUCCCCCAAGUGGACCGAUAACCCGAACCUACGCGAUACAUGACAAGGUGAACUCAUCCCUUUCGACACUCGACGUCGUCAAUACAUUGGAUGGUAUACUACCUCAUGGAUAUGUGUUAUGUGUCAUUAGGUACAAACAUCGACAAGAGUUCACAAGAGGGAGUCCAUCAUGCUUAAGGAGGAAGAAGGAAAGAAGAGAGGAAGAAGAAGAAAGAAGAAGAGAAAGAAAUAAGAAGAAAGGAGAAGAAAGGGGGAGAGGAGGAGGCCGGAGCCUCCACCCAGGAGGGGGCCGGAGCCUCCAGGCCUCACUUGGCCAGUACCACGCCCAGGAGAAGGCCACCACGCGGGAGGGGCCAGGCCCGGUACUACCGGCCAGCCUUGGCCGGUACUACCGGCCAGCUCUAAGCGCCACCUCCAGCCAGAUGCUGAGCGGCACCUCUUGGCCGCGGGAAAGAAGGGGAGGCCGGUACCUCCGACCAUGGUACCGGCCAAGGUACCGCUGGGGCGCCCCGACCCCCAGUAACAUGUGAUGCAGCUCCCCGGUACCUUGGGCGGUACCUCCGGCCGUGGUACCGCCCAGAGGCCCCGUCUCCCAGUAACUCUUCGACCAGAUUUUGGUGUAUUUCGGGUACCACGGCCGGAGCCUCCGCUCGAGGUACCGCUCGGCCUAAUCCGCCUCAAAUCUGAACCGUUCAUCUUCAUCUGGACGUCCAUCCUUGAUGCCAUGUAAUACCUAAACUACCCUUGCUCGAAUCUGAACCUAUAUGUAUCCCCGUACUCCCCAUUUGUUAGGGUUAGACAAGAUUUGGCUUAGAAUAAAUUUUGAGCUUUGUCUCCCUAGGGUAUCAUCCCUCUGUAAUCAAGGCCACCCUUGUUGUUGAUUGGAUUUGUGAGUGA